UACGAAGGGUGCAAGCGUUAUUCGGAAUGACUGGGUGUAAAGGGCGUGUAGGCGGAUGAUUAAGUUAACGGUAAAAGGCCAUAGCCUAACUGUGGAACCGCCGUUAAAACUGAUCGUCUAGAGUUAGGAAGAGAGAAGUGGAAUUCUCGGAGUAGCGGUAAAAUGCGUAGAUCUCGAGAGGAACACCGAUGGCGAAGGCAGCUUCUUGGUCCUAGACUGACGCUGAGACGCGAAAGCGUGGGGAGCAAACAGGAUUAGAUACCCGAGUAGU
rnacentral:rRNA from 1 species